rnacentral:rRNA from 1 species
CCUACGGGGGGCAGCAGUGAGGAAUAUUGGUCAAUGGGCUUACGCCUGAACCAGCCAAGUCGCGUGAGGGAAGACUGCCCUAUGGGUUGUAAACCUCUUUUGUCAGGGAGCAACGCCGGCUACGUGUAGCCGGACUGAGAGUACCUGAAGAAAAAGCAUCGGCUAACUCCGUGCCAGCAGCCGCGGUAAUACGGAGGAUGCGAGCGUUAUCCGGAUUGAUUGGGUUUAAAGGGUGCGUAGGCGGAAUGCCAAGUCAGCGGUAAAAUCGCGGGGCUCAACCUCGCUCCGCCGUUGAAACUGGCGUUCUUGAGUGGGCGAGAAGUAUGCGGAAUGCGUGGUGUAGCGGUGAAAUGCAUAGAUAUCACGCAGAACUCUGAUUGCGAAGGCAGCAUACCGGCGCCCAACUGACGCUGAAGCACGAAAGCGUGGGUAUCGAACAGGAUUAGAUACCCUAGUAGUC